GUAAUAUUGGUGAUCGGGUUAUUGGGUAUGUAUUGAGUGAAAUGUUACUUGGGUUGUCUCUAUAUAGUUUAAUGGGCACGUGCGUAGGUAGGCUGAAUUACAACGAAUAGGCCCCUCUAUUUAUAGAGUAACUAAACUGUGAAGUUAAAAGGAAACAAAAUUCUAAUAAAAUAUAAUCAUAUUGUAGUAUCAAAAAUAAGCUUAUCAAAUUAAUUGAAAUUAAAGCAGUUGUAGACUUUUCCUAACAUUUUAUUUGUUGCAAUUGUCGUCUCAAACCUUUCAAAAUGUUGCAGUUGAAGCCCAAACGGAUGAAUUUCCCGUCAAUUGACCAAAAAUAAAGUGUUGAUCAUAUUUUUAACAAUUUCAAUGAUGGUAAAAUGGUAAUUUCAUAUUUAAAACAUUAAAGAAUUCAAAUAAUUAAUUAACUAAACCAAAAAAAAAAAUGGAAAUUAAAAAACUGAACAUUCUUCUUCCCCAAUCCCCCGCCUGCCCUGCCUCGGAACAGAACCACAACCUCCGUCACCACCUCAGCCUCCAUUGAAGAGAGCUAAAAAAUAACCCUCCAAGAAAAAGCACCGUUAACACCCUUUGUAAAAUAAGAAGAUAAGAAACAAAUUCGCUAAAAUCUAACCAAAUGCUUGAUUUGGAGGCAUCUUUGCACAUUAUUAAAUCAUUUAUAAGCUGCCCAACUUUGUCUAGAUUGCACUCAUCACCAUCAGUUGAUUCUAAUCCCAAGUCAACUACAAACUUAUAAAUUCAGAAGUCGGUCAUUGUAUUUUUUAGCAAGUCGGGUUUUCGAUCUUUUUAGAAGGAAAGACGAUAGUAACAAAAAGCUCUCAAAGCGAAAGAGUACAAGGCUACCUCGGGGACGAAGUAGAUGCUGGUGAUGGAGUGGAUAUUUUCGGUGAAGGGACAAUUUCAAGAGAGAGUUGAGGAAUGGUUACUCUUGUUUCUUCACUGCACUAGCGAUUAUGGGAGUGUCUUGAGGCCGAUUUGUUUCGACUUUGGGUCUCAGGCUGAUGAGAAGGUAGUAUAGAUACUGUUGUCUUGAUUUGAUUAUGAGCUUAGAUCUUGAUAUUUUUCAAUUAUUUUCUUGGCAGAAGAAAAGAUCAAGUGAUGACUUUGACGUGGUGAUGGUUGGAUUUUUAGGUUUGAUUUUUUGGGGUGGAGAGUGGGGACAUGGGGUGUUUGGAGAAGAAAGCUUUCAGUUUUUUUAAUUAAUUUUUUAUUUAAUUAUUUUACAUAGUUACCUUUUUACCUUCAUUAUAAUUGUUAAAGAUAUGGUCAAACUAAUUUUUGGGUCAAUUUAUUAAAAAAAUGAAUCGAAUUCAUCCAUUUUGGGCUCUAGAUGCGAUAUUUUGAAAUGUUUAGGUUGAUGGUUGCAAUAAAUGAAAGGUUAGGGAAAAAUCUGCAAUUGUUUGAAAGGUUUGGGGGUAGUCACUAUCCUAAACAUUUUUUUUUUAAUAAUAAAUAACAGUAGGCCUGAUCAUUGAAUUACCUAUCAGGAUUAAUUAUCCUAAACUUAUAUUUAAACUAAGUCCUUGUUUGAGCCCC
rnacentral:lncRNA from 1 species